GAAUCUACUGGAUCGACUCGUUCGCAGAUACGUUCGAAAGCCGCCGUUCUUAUCCUACAUUGGCCGAACGUUUCUGCUUAUAUAAUCGCGUAUAUUUUUAUUACUUGUGUCGAAUAAACAUGGUAAAAAUAAAUUUUAGCUUUAUCUUGAUACUUUUGUAUUUAUUGUUGGAAUGAAAACCAAUAUUAUUUUUUUUUAAAUAUUACUUAAUGAUAAGGUUUAUAACCUCGUACGGAAGCGCGGUACGAAAAAUAAAUGAAUAAAUAACCACGCACGUGCACGUGCAUACUCGGAAUUUCGACAGUCAUAAAAAUGGCAGAUAAUCAAUUUGUAGAGGAAUGUACCAACAUCGCAAGAUUUCUUGCGGAUGGAACUUAUCCGGAAUUAGGGAUGAGCGUCAACAAGAAGAGGGGGCUGCGGAAGAAAGCAGCCACCUUCAAGCUGAGUUCGAUUGAUGGGCUCACAGAAUUAGUUUAUACAGGGCGAGGAUGUGAAGAAAGACGGGUAAUCCCAAGAAAAGAAGAACAAAAGAAAAUCCUGGCCGAGUUGCAUGUCAACUCUGGAGGGCAUCUAGGAAGGGACAGAACGAGGCAUGUCGUUCUGCAACGAUUUUACUGGCCGGGGAUCUCACAUGAUGUUGCCCAGUACAUCAAAUGCUGUGUCCCAUGCCAAAAGGCAGCACCCUCCAUAAAGCACAAGCAGCCUCUGCAUCCAAUUCCAGUGACUGGUGUGUGGGAUCAGAUUGGAGUGGACUUAAUAGGACCGCUAAAGGAGACUGGAAGAGGUCAUAAGUACAUAGUGACUUUAACAGACUACUUUUCGAAGUGGGCUGAGGCAGCGCCAAUCCCGAACAAGGAAGCGAAGACAAUUGCCCAGUUUCUGCAUCAAGUGAUGCUUAGAUUUGGAUUUGUUGAUCGUUUGAUUACGGAUCAAGGGAGAGAAUUUAACAACGAGUUGGUGACUUCCCUUCUAAAGUUCAGCGGUACAAGGCACUGCGUUAGCAGUGCUUAUCAUCCCCAAACAAACGGGCUGGUUGAACGAUUCAACCAGACUUUGAUAUGUGCACUACAGAAGGUGACAAAUGAAGAGUGCAAUGAUUGGGAUGAGAAGAUUGAUGCCAUUCUCUUUGCAUACCGGACAUCCCCCCAAGGGUCUACGCGCUACUCACCCUUUCAACUUAUGUUCAACAGAGAACCACGUCUCCCCAUAGAUGUAGUGACCAGCUCCUCAACUAUCUCAGCGCCCUCCCCUGAGGAAGUUGAACAAGUUUUUGUCAAGGUCCAGGCAAUGAGCGAUAAAAUCAGGGAUCAUACCAAGAUCAACGUGAAGGCGGCCCAGCAAAAGCAAAAGAGGCAUUAUGAUGAGAGGCAUCAUGUCAGCAAGGUUUUCUCUGAAGGAAGUUGGGUUCUGAAGAAGAACAUGAGAAGAGACACCCGGCAAGGAGACAAGCUAACCCACAGGACGACAGGACCAUUUAUCAUCGAGAAGUAUGUGAGCAAAGGUGUCUACAUACUGCGCAAUCCUCUUACCGAUACCCUUCUAAAACAGAAAGUGAAUGGAAGCCACCUCAUUCCUUUCAAUAGAGAUAGUGGUCUGAGUACAGACACGAGUACAAACAAGGAUGGUAUAAGAAAUACCGGGAAUACGUGCUAUAUGAAUGCCACUGCACAAAUUCUUGUAGCAUCUCCAGUUGUCCACUUGUACAGGGAACAGAGUGUACACAAGAUCCCUGCCCUUGAUGGAGUCUUACAACUUUAUAAUGCAGAUAACACUGCUGCAGUGAAGAAGGCUGUACAGAGUUUGAAGGAUCUUCUGCCUUCCUACAACGAUGCAGAGCAACACGAUGCUGGACGGUUUAUGCUUGACAUCCUGUCCUCGCAAUGUCUCCAUUGUGGUUCAAGUAAAUGCACUUUCCUUCAAAGCUGUUGUCAUUUGCAGGGGCACAAUGAACUUAAGUGCCCUAAUUGUGACGCAUCAAGGCUUGGGGGAGAGCUUGAUUACGGCUCCAUGCCAGUAGAAUGCAGAAGCAACAAAUCACUCGACACCACUCUCGAGGAAUUUUUCAGUUGGGCUACUGUUGACUUCAAAGGCCUUUGCGACAAGUGUGGACAGACCCUGACCAAGAUGGAAAAGAGGCCAGUGGCAGAGUCACCGCCAGACUUUCUGUGGGUCACGCUACAGCGCUGGAAAGAAUCGGAGGUCCGGCAAGCUUUGUCCGAAUCUCGACUUACCAAAAAUACAGAAAGGAUGAAUGUCAGCCAUUGCCUCUCCCUUCCACUUAAAGACGGAUUUAUGCAGGAAUAUCACCUUGGAAGCUUAAUGAUGCAUGAAGGAAGCAGCAUGUCCAGUGGACAUUACACUGCACUUGUUUGUAAGGAAACGUGGAUCCUGUAUGAUGAUGAGAAGGUGUCUGUGACUGAUAUUGAUCUGGCAUCACCUUCUAUAGCUGGUGUGGGAUAUAAGAAAGGUCAUAUGUAUAAGGUUGAGAAGGCAUCCUCCCAAGAAGCUGUCAACGCUGCUGCAGACUUGAAGAUGGCUGCUGUACCAUUUGCUGAUGUACUUAACCACGUGGAAGCUAUUGUUGCCGGAAAAGUGAGAUCAUCAAGACAUGACCUGUUCAUCGAGAGGAAAUUGGUCGUAUUGAAGCAACUCAGCUAUGAUGGACUAGGAGAGUUUUCAAAUGAGAUGGAGCGUUCAAUGAUGCAUUGGACAAGACUUGAUUUGCAGGAAUUGGAUUGAACCCAAGUUUGCUGAGAAACUGAAGCUGAUUGGCAUUCCUAAUGACAUGUAAGAUUAUUACCCAUAGAAGGCAUUUUAGCUACAAGAUAAAAAGCCAUAUUUUGCGCACCACUUCUAAUCUGAACCCGAAGCAGGCAACAUUUGCCAUAUUGCCCCCUUCCGGGUUUUCCCCGUAGACAACUGUACAAAAUUUGAGGACAACAUUGGGCCAUAAUCCAUUCUUUCUUGGAGAGUGCGCUUUAACAAAGUUCAAAUGUACGCGAUCUAGUUUUAAGCAAUGGAUACCCGCGGUAAAAAUUUACGUAACAAUCGCUUAGGCAGGAUUACAUACAUGCCUGAAUAAACUGAAAUCAGACAGACCGACAGGCAAACACACAUGUCUGUCAUUAUUACCAAAAAAAUUAAUGACAUGCAUGAAUUAUACAGCUGUAGGUAAUAAUAAUUAUAUUGACUGGCUCUGCCUUCGGGGAACAUCGGAAAUGUUACCCUUAAAAGAACCAUAUUGCCCUUGUCUACGACUCUGGACAAUAUGAAUCUUUUGCAGGCAAUAUAUUCAAUGUUUCCUCAAGGCCAGUCAAUAUAAUAUAAUUAUGAUACUAAACAAUGGUGUAGCAAAGCAUUAUUUGGACACACACAUAAAUCAUCCCAUUGAAAGAAUUCUAUUGAAAUUUAUUGGGAAAUCUAUUGAAUUGUCUAAUUGAAGACAAAGGAACCGUCUUUGAUUUUCUUGAGGUUACACAUGUUAUUUGACGCAUGUACAGGUGGACCUAUUCUAUGUUCCUUGAUGAUGGAAAUUGUAAAUUGGUGUAGUUUUGAUCAACAAAAAUGUGGUUUGAUAAUUUUGUCCCCCAAAAGUCAUAUUUUCAGUUAGAAUUUAUUUGAUGGAUGUGUUUUUAGUUCCAAUUCAAUAAAUGAUAUGUGCUGAUAUCUAAUUGAGCAAAUUGAAAUAGUACAUUUUGUGUUGGUGGCUAGCGAGUUGCAGCUCUUCACUGUAUGAAAUACAUUUUCCUGCAAGCUGAGAAAUUAGCCUGCGGCAGCUUGCCAGUAGUGGCGCUGUUAAUCGUGAAUAUAUAGACCAUAACAAUGUUGCUUUUGUUGUGUGUUUUUUCUCUUUCUCAGGGCAAGUUUUUACCUGAAUUACGUCUUAUACCCAGAGGCAUUCAGCUUUGUGUUCAAUGCAGAAGCUCCAGGUAUCUAACUUGGGAAACAACUGAUUGAAGAGGACACUCGAUCUGUGUGAGAUGAGGAGCUCAUAUAUUUCCUUAGAAGAUGUUCAUUUAAGUUCUCAAAUUUUUACAGACAUAAUACACUAUGCGGGUACCAGUCAGUCUACAGGUCCGCAGAAAGUGGCUUCUUUCAUCCAACUUGUAUACAUGACCGGAACAGGUUCUGCAUAUUUAACGAGUCAGAACCUGUCAGAAGACCACUUUUAUUUUGGCCCUUGCUGCUCUUAAACAUCAAAUUUGAUGUUUUUGGUUAUAAGGUGAAGAAUCAAUCUGUUAUUGUAUUUGAUUGAGUUUAAUUGAAUAUUCGGUAAGAUAGGUGAAAUUGUGGAUCUAGAAAGAAUACAAAUGUGACUUUUUCACUUGCCAAAAGUGUCAUUACAUCUGCAUGAAGCUGAACAUCUAUGCUUCGUGAUAAAAACACUCCUAACACAUGAUACAAUUUAAUCGGCUCAAGAACUGUACGUCAGUUGGUCCCACUGCUUGGCAAUAUAUCAUUUGAGGUAGGAACUUCAAACUUGGUACAGUCCACACUCAUUUUAACGACGUGCUCAAGACCAUGCCAAUUACCUCAUUAUACAUGUACUGAACACAUAGACACAUGUGCACAUGACUGGGAGAAUCUUGUUGUAUCCAUGCUUGUUAUAACGGUAGUGGGCUGUAGUAGUAUGUAUCAACAUAGGAAGAUCAAGCAAUAAGAUAUUGGAGUAAGUAGGUCAAAGGUCACAGUGGUAUAUUUACAUGAAGUUAAAGGUUUUUAUUAUCUCAAGAUCCGUUUGAGGUUAGAACUUCAAACUUGGUAAUAGUAUGUAUCGCCAUAUAUCAAGGAGUAAUCGGUUAAGGGUCUCAUAUUUCUCUUAUCUUGUAAGGGCAUUCAUUCAGACUGUGCAGUCGAGAAUGGUUUUUGACACGCCAUGCUCAAAACAAUAGAGCUCGGUGAAGUGUGUAUGGAUCAGUGUCAUUAAGGUAUCAUUUGAAAGCAUAUGACUUGGAAUUAGUUUAUAGAGCACUACCUAGUCUGCAUAAAUUAACCCUUUGAUUUAGGGUUUUUGUUCUUUGGGGACGCACUGCAUAUCAGAUCUGGUGAAGACUGGAAUUCAUUUGGAAUUUGUGAAAUCGAGAAUCAUUCCUGUCUUAAUGACACUUCAAUGUCUUUUGAGAUCACAAUGAAGUCACAAUGGUCCAAAUUGUCUUUGUCCGUUUUCAGUGCAAGCCAAUUUGUAAACAACAUUAGGUCAUAAUUAUGUUUAUCACUUUAUAUUUGAUGAAAAAAAUUAUCUUGGAAGUGUACGCCCAUGUAAAUGAGUAUGAAGCGGUAAUUUUGAUUCCAUAAACAUUCCAUAAAAUAAAGAAUCUUGAAAUAUUGUGUAUGGAUGUAUUAAUGGUGCACCGUCCUCUAACAUUAUGCUGAUGGUCCUGGUUACGAAAGGAAUAGGGCAUACACUGUAAAGCUACGUUUUGAUACAAUGAUUGACAAUACAUUGUACAUUUCAGUAUAAAUUAGCCUAUAAUUGGAUUAAUGAUAACAUUUUGUUACUUGGAGACAUAGCAGUUGUAUGAAUGUUAUGAAUUAUAAAGAUACAAAAGAAUAGAUACAUUUGUAAUAUUUUUAAUGGGCAUAUAUAGUACAAGAUCAGAAUAUUGCAAUCUGGAUUAGAAGACAGGACAUUUUGAGUACAUGUAGUUCCGGACUCAAGGUGGUGCACUACAGGGCUGCUGUGGCUUUAAAAGCUGUGGUAAAAUAUUGAAGUUUUUAUACUGUUAAUGUUUGGCAUUGGUAAAGUGGAGAUCACAGUGAAGCAGAACAUAUUUUUAAUGGUACAAAUAUUACCAUGUAACUGACAAAUCAAAAAUUUAAACCAUACACACUGGAGUGGCAAUGAUGUUAUAAGAUAAGAUUAAGGGGCAACAUGGUCUCUGCGCUAAUUUCAGAUAUACAAGGGACCAGAAAGUGAGGGAUCAUGGGGAAAGUUUAUCAUACGGAAUUUGCAAAAUGCCUGUUUGCAUUAUAACCCAUCCGUCGUGCGAGGCCGUCGGACUAACUGUAAUAAAUGUUUGCGGACAGUACGAAGUUGACCGACUCAGUCCAUUCAAAUACUUUGGGUUCUGGCAUUUCUCAACAAUACUUGGUCUUUAACCAUAUUCACUAUCGAAGAAACAACUUGUAUACUAAUGCUCCAACAUUUCCAAAUACAAAACACAGGCUAGUUUACUUCUGGUUGGUUAGCCUAACCUUGGAGAAAAUCCAGGUCUUGCAAUCUCUUUAUUUGCUUUUCCCCCAGACAGUUUGUCACCGGGGAUUAUGUAACACCCAUCAGGCCCUCUCUCUAACGCCCGCAGUCACAUUUCCGCUGUACUGCACCUUAUGCAAAUGGUAAAAAACUGUUUUCUACACGCCGUGCGGGCCCGCAGUGGAAAUGUGACUGCGCCAUCAGAGAGCUGGCUAUGUAAUUGUUUCAUCCGAGGAUACCAUGCCUUUCCCCAUGAUCUCUCACUUUCUGGUCCCUCUAAUGCAUCAGAAAACAAUAUUUUAGUUAAGAAUAUCGUAGAGGAAUACGUAAGUGUUCCAUUUUAGAGUUCAUGGGAAUGCAACAGAAGUGUGAGAUAUAUUUCAGAUCAGAAUUUUUUUCUCGAGAUCGAUUACUUUCAGUGAUAUUUCAAGUCUCACUUUGUCAUUGAUUGGAGUUUUAAUAGUAUCUUUCAUCGAUGGGAAUUCUUGUUUUACUAAUAUAUUAUCAAGGCUUUUAAACUAUGAGGAUUUUAGUUCAUUCAAUCGAGAAUAAUGAGCUUGAUUACGAUAGCUAAAUGUUGGUACAUAAAUACGUAGAACAUUCUGAAAUGUUUGACAUGCUUAAUUCAUGUACAUAUGUAUCAUAACAUGUAUCAUAUCAUAUCGUUUUACUUCCAUUGUAAAAAAAAAGAAAAAGAAAUUAUGUCCAGCGCUUGCCUAUUGCAUCAUUUCAUGUGGUGCUUCAAAGCGUGAUUCUUUGAUGUGCCGUUGUGAAAAGAAAAGCAUAUCAUAUUUUGAAGAAUAAAAGUUUUGACAUUUAAAAUAAAUACAUAAA